rnacentral:rRNA from 1 species
UGGGGAAUCUUGCGCAAUGGGGGAAACCCUGACGCAGCGACGCCGCGUGCGGGAUGAAGGCCUUCGGGUUGUAAACCGCUUUCAGCAGGGACGAGGCCUUAUGGUGACGGUACCUGCAGAAGAAGCUCCGGCUAAAUACGUGCCAGCAGCCGCGGUAAUACGUAUGGAGCAAGCGUUAUCCGGAUUCAUUGGGCGUAAAGCGCUCGUAGGCGGUCUGUUAGGUCGGCAAGUUAAAUCCGGGGGCUCAACCCCCGUCCGCUUCCGAUACCGGCAGACUUGAGUUUGGUAGGGGAAGGUGGAAUUCCUAGUGUAGCGGUGCAAUGCGCAGAUAUUAGGAAGAACACCGGUGGCGAAGGCGGCCUUCUGGGCCAUAACUGUCGCUGAGGAGCGAAAGCUAGGGGAGCGAACAGG